rnacentral:rRNA from 1 species
CCUACGGGUGGUAGCAGUGGGGAAUAUUGGGCAAUGGAGGAAACUCUGACCCAGCAAUGCCGCGUGAAUGAAGAAGGUCUUCGGAUUGUAAAGUUCUUUAGUCAGGGAAGAAGUCACUGACUGUACCUGAAUAAUAAGCUCCGGCUAACUACGUGCCAGCAGCCGCGGUACUCCGUAGGGAGCAAGCGUUUUUCGGAAUGACUGGGCGUAAAGGGUGCGUCGGCGGUUGUACAAGUUAGAGGUGAAAUACCCAGGGCUUAACUCGGGUGCUGCUUCUAAAACUGGAUGACUUGAGUUCAGUAGAGGGUAGUGGAAUUCCAAGUGUAGCGGUGGAAUGCGUAGAGAUUAGGAGGAACACCGGAGGCGAAGGCAGCUAACUGGAAUGCAACUGACGCUGAGGCACGAAAGUGUGGGGAGCAAACAGGAUUAGAUACCCGAGUAGUC